AGCCAUUUAAAAAGGUAGAGGUUUUGUGGCUACAUUGAAAUGCAGCUAUGCUUUCAUCACAGCAAGUUUAUUGCAGUGGUGACAAUGAGACCUGUAACAUUU